rnacentral:misc_RNA from 1 species
AUAACUAUUGAACCCACAAAAGCUGUUCACUUGACAAGGAUUUUUCAGUGCUGCCCACACGGAUGUGCAUUCGAGUUCACCAUUCCCGUUGUCACUAUGAGAAUACAGGCGUAAAACACCAUCAAUGUCUAGAGCUGCACGGUAAAUUGUACUGUUGUCAUUGUUUGCCGAUGAUGAGCCAUCAUAUAGGGUAUGGAUGAUUUUUGAACGGGCACUGUUGAUAAUUUCUAGGAGGCCAGAACUAUUGAGAUAAAGAUGAAACUUG